rnacentral:rRNA from 12 species
GGAGUUCUGACGUGCAAAUCGAUCGUGAGACAUGGGUAUAGGGGCGAAAGACUCAUCGAACCAUCGAGUAGCUGGUUCCCUCCGAAAUUUCCCUUAGGAUAGCUAUAAUCAUGUUAGUUUCAUCAGGUAAAGCGAAUGAUUAGAGGGUUGGGGGGCGAAAUGCCCUCGACCUAUUCUCAAACUUUAAAUGGGUGAGCACGCGGGGUUGCUUUUGUGAAGCUCGCGGUUGAAUAGUGUUGGUUAUUAGUGGGCCCCCUCUGGUAAGCAGAGCUGGCGAUGCGGGAUGAUCCGAACGAGCGGUUAAAGUGCCUUUGUGUUGGCUCAUGUAGAUCCCAUAAAAGGUGUUGGUUCAUUUAGACAGCAGGACGGUGGCCAUGGAAGUCGGAAUCCGC